GACAGAGGGUGCAAACGUUGUUCGGAAUUACUGGGCGUAAAGCGCGUGUAGGCGGCUAAGUAAGUCGGGCGUGAAAUCCCACGGCUCAACCGUGGAAGUGCACUCGAAACUGCAUAGCUAGAGUCCUGGAGAGGAAGGUGGAAUGCUUGGUGUAGAGGUGAAAUUCGUAGAUAUCAAGCGGAACACCGAUGGCGAAGGCGGCCUUCUGGACAGUGACUGACGCUGAGACGCGAAAGCGUGGGGAGCAAACAGG
rnacentral:rRNA from 1 species